rnacentral:rRNA from 1 species
AACGAACGCUGGCGGCAUGCCUAACACAUGCAAGUCGAACGCCCUGGUUCGCCAGGGAGUGGCGCACGGGUGAGUAACGCGUGGGAACCUGCCCGGCAGUACGGGACAACCGCGGGAAACUGCGGCUGAUACCGUAUACGGCCUGAGGGCGAAAGAAUUUCGCUGUCGGAGGGGCCCGCGUCGGAUUAGGUAGUUGGUGGGGUAACGGCCUACCAAGCCUGCGAUCCGUAGCUGGUCUGUGAGGAUGAUCAGCCACACUGGGACUGAGACACGGCCCAGACUCCUACGGGAGGCAGCAGUGGGGAAUAUUGGACAAUGGGCGCAAGCCUGAUCCAGCAAUGCCGCGUGAGUGAUGAAGGCCUUAGGGUUGUAAAGCUCUUUCGCCCGCGACGAUGAUGACGGUAGCGGGAGAAGAAGCCCCGGCUAACUCCGUGCCAGCAGCCGCGGUAAUACGGAGGGGGCUAGCGUUGUUCGGAAUUACUGGGCGUAAAGGGCGCGCA